rnacentral:rRNA from 1 species
UACAGAGGUCUCAAGCGUUGUUCGGAUUCAUUGGGCGUAAAGGGUGCGUAGGCGGCGCGGUAAGUCGGGUGUGAAAUUUCGAGGCUUAACUUCGAAACUGCAUUCGAUACUGCCGUGCUUGAGGACUGGAGAGGAGACUGGAAUUUACGGUGUAGCGGUGAAAUGCGCAGAUAUCAGGAAGAACACCCCGUGGCGAAGGCGGUUCUCUGGGACGGUACUGACGCUGAGACGCGAAAGCGUGGGGAGCGAACAGG